AUUGAACGCUGGCGGCAUGCUUUACACAUGCAAGUCGAACGGCAGCACAGGGAGCUUGCGCCUUGGUGGCGAGUGGCGAACGGGUGAGUAAUGUAUCGGAACGUGCCUGGUAGUGGGGGAGAACUACUCGAAAGAGUGGCUAAUACCGCAUGAGUUCUUUGGAUGAAAGCGGGCGACCUUCGGGCCUCGUGCUACUGGAUGGGCCGAUCUCGGAUUAGGUUGUUGGUGGGGUAAAGGCCUACCAAGCCUGCGAUCUGUAGCUGGUCUGAGAGGACGACCAGCCACACUGGAACUGAGACACGGCCCAGACUCCUACGGGAGGCAGCAGUGGGGAAUAUUGGACAAUGGGCGCAAGCCUGAUCCAGCAAUGCCGCGUGCAGGACGAAGGCCUUCGGGUUGUAAAGUGCUUUUGUACGGAACGAAAAGAAUCUGGCUAAUAUCUAGAGAUCAUGACGGUACUGUAAGAAUAAGCACCGGCUAACUACGUG
rnacentral:rRNA from 1 species